UUUAGAAGCAGCUCACACAUUCUGAAUUAAAUACUGUGUAUAAAUAAACAAGAUGACAGUUAUAGUCACUGAAACACUUGAGUGCAUAAUUGUCUGCACUGAGAUCUAAUUUAGUGUUGUAUCAAAUUUUAUUAAGCGAAGCUGAAGGGGGAACUAACUUGAAUUGCAAAAAUCUUCUCUUUUUCAGAUGAAAUACAGCAGCUGUCCAAUAAAUGCAGCCAGGACAACUGGGUCAUCAGCUGUUUUUUAAACUUUUGGAAACAAGCAGGGGUGAAAAAUGUCCUUUCGAUGCAGCAUUAAGGGAGACAAGAUAUCCUUUUUAUCUAAGUGGACAGAGAAAUAUAGGAGAAAAGGACUUAAAUUAUCAAUAUGGUGUGAGUUUUGAGUUUCUGAGGAUCUACCCUCAUUUGGAGAAAUACAGGUCUUGAUGCUUGGCAUUUCCUAGCGUGGAGUGGCUGUA